GAAUUCGCCCUUAGAGUUUGAUCCUGGCUCAGGACGAACGCUGGCGGCAGGCUUAACACAUGCAAGUCGAACGCUCUCUUCGGAGAGAGUGGCAGACGGGUGAGUAACGCGUGGGAAUCUACCCAGCACUACGGAACAACAGUUAGAAAUGACUGCUAAUACCGUAUACGCCCUCCGGGGGAAAGAUUUAUCGGUAUUGGAUGAGCCCGCGUUUGAUUAGCUAGUUGGUGAGGUAAUGGCUCACCAAGGCGACGAUCAAUAGCUGGUCUGAGAGGAUGAUCAGCCACACUGGGACUGAGACACGGCCCAGACUCCUACGGGAGGCAGCAGUGGGGAAUAUUGGACAAUGGGCGAAAGCCUGAUCCAGCCAUGCCGCGUGUGUGAUGAAGGCCCUAGGGUUGUAAAGCACUUUCAACGGUGAAGAUAAUGACGGUAACCGUAGAAGAAGCUCCGGCUAACUUCGUGCCAGCAGCCGCGGUAAUAAGGGCG
rnacentral:rRNA from 1 species